rnacentral:rRNA from 1 species
UACGUAGGGGGCAAGCGUUGUCCGGAAUUAUUGGGCGUAAAGAGCGUGUAGGCGGUCCGGUAAGUCAGCUGUGAAAGUCAAGGGCUCAACCCUUGAAAGCCGGUUGAUACUGUCGGGCUAGAGUCCGGAAGAGGCGAGUGGAAUUCCCGGUGUAGCGGUGAAAUGCGCAGAUAUCAGGAGGAACACCGAUGGCGAAGGCAGCUCGCUGGGACGGUACUGACGCUGAGGCGCGAAAGCGUGGGGAGCAAACAGG